UAUAAAGGCUCAUGAUGAUUUCAAUGAUAGGACAGAAAACAAAUUUUGUGUUGACGAAAAAUAAAGCCGAUAUUAAUGAAAUUACUGAACACUUUU
rnacentral:snoRNA from 1 species